UCUCCGUCAGCUGCCUGAUUACUCUUUAGUAAAGUAAUCUGAUUACAGUGGCAAUGAAGGUCUCAGCUUGAAAACUUGAGAUCAGCUCCCUCUUCCUCCUCUUCCUCCUGAUGCUCCUUCCUGAUUGGUCAUGUUGGAUCAACAUCACAAAGAGGCUGCAGGUUCUCAGCUCAGCCUCUCAGUGAUGUCACAUCCUGUGUGUCAGCAGCUGCUGGGCCCAUGGCUGCAUGACUGGAGCAUGAUGGGAGCAGAGAGCGAGCUGCUGGGAGCCGGAGGCAGCAGAGGAUUGUGGGAAUCAGACCUUUUACAGCUCAUCACUGACCUUCAGCUGGUGGGCGGGGCUUAUUUUGAAAUUUGGGCUUUUACUUUGUAACCACUUCCUUCACAUAAUCGCAGCUUCUGGAGAUGAAACUUCUCAUCUGUACCCACACGAGGAAGAUACAAACCAAUGCCACUUAAGGUGUUGUUUUUACAACUUGGAGCAGCUGAUUAGCAUCCCGGAAG